rnacentral:lncRNA from 1 species
UGCACGUGCUUUGGUCCAUACUGGUGGAGUCACAUGCGCCUGCUUUGCCACCAAUUAAAUGAAGCUUCCUACAGUUACACAGACCAAAACAUACCAUACAAUAUGAGAGAUUUUCAGUCAUGUACAUAUAUAUUAUGCUUUGUAAUUAUGUAAACUUGUGGGGUUUUCCAGCUCUCCUUUUAUUCCUAAACUUUCUGGGAGCAGAGUACUGCUUAAUUUCAAAUGUGCUCUAAAUUAUCAAAGUUAUGUUCAAAGACAUUGUUCCAAAUAUCCGAUCCAAACAUGCAUAUAAACAUAUGAUAACUUUUACAAUGACAUCUAAGGCUCCAUUAAGUUCUUAUAAUAAAAUUAUAUAAAUAGUUAAUUAAAAAAAAAUGUCCUUAUAAAGGCUUCACACUGAGAAUAUCUUUUUCUUUUCCCUGAGAAACGGAUAUAACGUGUAUCCUUUCUAGUUUGAUCUUUCUUGCUUCUUGUUGCUUCAUCUGUUUCAAGCAGUUGAGCUGAUACUGAUUAGGUAAGUGGGGUUGACUUCAGAAAACUAUUGAAUUGAAUUGAUUGAUUACCAGCAUGAAACCAAUGUCAGUGGAUAAUUAUUAUGUAAUUACAAACUUUAAGCUGUGAUGAUGAUAAUGCUCAUCGACUCGGCCACAAGGAAAUCAAAGGAAAAAAAAACAGUUAAGAAAGUUGAUGUAAAUUUACAUCAAUAUCAACACAUAAGCAUGCUAACUUAGUAUUUAUAAACACUUAUUAAAUAUUUUAAAUAAAGUUAAUUUAGUUUAAUAAUCAUAAGUAAUUUGCUCAAGCUUAAUUGGAUAUGCAUAUAUAAACUUUUGAAUGACACAGCAACUUGCAGUGUUUUGUGCGGUAAUUUUUGUCAGUCUGCAAGCACAAGUUUUUAUUAAUGGGUCAGCAUUCAGCAACGUCAAACUAUUUCUUUUUCCACAAUAGACAAUCGUAACCUUUAGAAGUCUAAUUAAUUGUAACUAGCAAUCAUAUGUCACUAUCAGUAACUCUAGAAUUUGUACAUACCAAGCAAUGAACUUCUAGUGCUGGUCCAAAAAUAUUUAUGUUCAAGUUCAUUUAUCCAACUUCAUACACACAACAUCAGUCCAUAAGUAGGAAAUCUUGGGAUAAUAAGAUGAGAACACAUGGAACUUCCUGGUAACAUUUAUAUGUCGAUCCUUCAUAUUAAAUUCAUCAAAUUCAAUAGAAUUAUGUAUAAAUAUUGCAAAAUUAAUCAUGAAUCAUUUACAUGGCUCUGCUCUUUAAAUAAACGAGCAUAACUAGAUGAUUGAUUGCAAAUUAGUUCAAGGGAAUGAUUAUACCGCACACGAGAGAAUCCAACAACGACUUAGCAAUACAGCUGCUUAAAAGUCCUUUUAAAUGCAUAUACAGGAACAUAGCUGCAGCAAAACGGUAGUUAUGGGAGUACAGGACUAGGACUCGCAGUAUUAGAAAAUAGGAAGAAGAUUUUUUUUAACAUUUUCACCCAUUAAUUACUGUUAGCUCAAGACCAUGAGAUACGACUAUUUAUUGUUCUCUAUAUUAGAUUAGGAUUUAGGGUUUAGGGCUUACUGGUAUCCAUUGGUGGAGACGGGGACUUAAACCAUGGUUUGCAAGCCAGGGGAAUCGAUUCCGUCGUCAAUUCGUCAUUCGUUAACAUGAUCGCCGGCCGAUUGCCGGUCAAUAUGUUUAUUAUUUUCCAUUUCCGGCGUAGAAUUAGCAACAAACAGAGACAGUACAGCAGUAUUCUGUACUACAAAUUGUUUCUUUUUUGUCGGUAAUUGGAGCAGAAGACCAACAACUACCGGGCGGCUUAAUGGUAAAAGAGAAGCAAUCAAAUGUUCAAGUAUUGGAUUGUCAGCC